UAGAAGAGCAGAGGGAGGGAAAGCAGAAGGUAAGCCGGGGAAAGAAGGGGGCAGCGCGGAAGAGGCUAGUCCGCUGGGAGGCAGGGAGAGGCGGUGGGAAAGAAAGAAAGAAAAGAGAAGAGAGCGAGAAAGAAGUAAAGUUAAGGACGCCUCGCGGGCAGCAGCGUCUUCUUCCCGCCACCUUCCAGAUCCAGCCCCAGCGACCCUAGCCGCGGAGCGGGCAGUCCCGCCACUCCGGCGCCUGGGGGGGGGCAGAGAGAGAGGACGAGGCGGCGGAGGGGAGGCAGCUCUUCCACCCGCUCUUCCCACCCACCCCCACCCCGGCUGUGCAAACUCUUCACGGCCGGAGCUCCUUCGCCUCCCCGGACACCACCCGAGCAUCUUCCGCAUCUAAUUGACGUGGGCGGCGGGGGGAGGGGAGUUGGUGGUAUCCCCGGGAGAAAGGGCGGGAGGAGGAAGAUGGAGGCGUCGAGGAAAGAGACCUAGGGAGCGGGAGAGCGAGAGGGCAUGGAAAGGGCAGGGGGCUUCCGAGGAUGAGGGCUCGCUCGCUGGGUGCAUAAGGGCCGCCCGCCAGGAGGCUCGACUUCCGCCUGUCUCCGGAGCCUGUGAAGGGGGUCUUUGCUGCGGGAUGCUGAGGAGGGGGCCGCUCAGGCUUUAAGCCCCCUCCUGACCUACCAGGAUGUGGACCGGACCUGGCAGAGGGCUCUGCCUGCUGGGAGCGCCGGGGUUGCUGCUGCUGCUGGUGCUGAGAGCAACUUGUAUGGCUGUGCAAUUUGUUCCUGCAAAGACCUACGAGGACUGGUGGGCAUACAAGGAAACACUUCACGGAAGCUUUGUGCCAGGUCCUCCCUUCUGGGGUCUGGUGAAUUCAGCAUGGAGCCUCUGUGCCAUUGGCAAACGCCAGUCUCCUGUGGAUGUCAACACAAGUCAAAUGAUUUUUGAUCCCUUCCUCCCUCCACUUCGGCUCAGUAUUGGUGGAAAAAAGAUUAGUGGAACCAUGUACAACACAGGCCGACAUGUCUCUUUUCGUCCAGAUCCAGUACAGCUGGUUAAUGUUUCAGGAGGACCUCUGCCAUACAGUCACCGGCUCCAAGAAAUACGGCUGCAUUUUGGCAGUGAAGAUGGAUUUGGCUCAGAACACCGGAUAGAUGGCGACAGCUUUUCUGCUGAGGUACAGUUGAUCCACUACAACCAAGAACUCUACCCCAAUAUUUCUGAGGCUUCGCGCAAUCCCAAUGGUUUAGCUGUCAUUUCUAUCUUUGCCAAUAUUGGACCAAAUCCUAACUCUUUCCUGACCAGGCUGUUAAACCGAGAAACAAUUACCCGGAUCUCCUAUAAGAAUGAUGCUUAUCUUCUACACGAUCUGAGCCUGGAAGACCUUUAUCCAGAGACAUUUGGUUUUAUCACUUACCAAGGAUCCAUGUCAACCCCUCCAUGCUACGAAACAGUAACCUGGAUUCUCAUUGACCGUCCCAUCAAUAUUACCUCCGUUCAGAUUCACUCCCUUCGUCUUCUCAGUCAGAACCUCCCUUCUCAAAUUUUCCGGAGCAUGAGUGACAACUCAAGACCUCUCCAGCCCCUUUUACACCGAAGCCUUCGGGGCAACCGAGACCCACGGCGCCCCACUAAACGUUGCAAAGGAGCCUCCUACAGGCUACAUGGAUAACUCUGGCGGAAUGGGGCAACUUGUCACAAUCAACUCGCUGGGAGACAACUGGCAUUGGUCAACUCACCACAGGACAACUUGCUGCGGGACAAUUCAACAGUUCAAUUGAAUUAUUUAAAACAUUGAUGGAACACAGCCUCCCAAACCAGGCAUGUAGUUUUGCUGCAAGCUCCUGAAUGUCUGAGUGUGUCCGUCGCUCAAAAUGCUCAAAGUGUCCAACUGAGGAAGCUACAAUCUCCCAUCUCUGAAUGAUUGCCAUAGCUUCCAUUGUGGGAAAGGCAACAUGUGGGGUACCAGGGAACCAGGCUGGAAUUCUUGCCUUGGGGUGUUUGGAAAACUUUGAUCACAAUAGGGUUGGGUUGCCAAAAGCUUAAACAAUGAAAUGAGGGCUAUUAAUUUGCAGAAUAAGGCACAUCUCCCCCAGUGCUAUAGCCUAAUAUUUAAAGAAGGCGGGAGCAUCCAGGAGUGUGAGGAUUAGAAUCUUUGCAUUGCCUCCCUGCUAAAGGAGGCAAUGCAAAGAUUGUCUGUUCUGGAGAUCAGAUUUAUUCAAAAUCUCUAUUAGGUGGAGGCAAUGUACUCCAAAUUAUAUACAGAACUAAACUGUAUCAGGCAGACAGUUGUAUUCCCAAUACUGAAUGCGCCUUAGAAUGUUUCCUUAGAAAUGCAGAGGAACAUCCUUAUAAUAUCCUGGUGAGACUCCAAUAUGUUUGGGGGGACAUUCUGAGACCCACAGGAGCCUUGGGACUAAAAAUUAUAGUGAGAUAGUUUUCUCCAAGAUUUUAAAAUGCCAUGAAUCUCAGGAAGUUUAAGAGGGGGGGAAUUGCAUUACAUGGGUGUAACCCCACAAACUCUAAGCUUCAAUUGUUCUUUUUAAGAAGAGUUAUCUUGGAACUUUAAUCUGGGUAAAACUUGAGAGAAUCUGGGGUGGAAAACAAAUAUGAUCUCCCUCCCUACUCUAUCCUGGGGUGGGGGGAGGGUUGAGAGAACCAGUAAAAUAAGGGAUCUGUGCUUAUCACUUCAUUCUAAAUGGCCUUCAACAGCCCUAACUGUAAAACAGGAGAGGGAAUAUUUUUAUUGCCAAACGAACCCACCUUUUGAAUAUUGAUGAGUAUUAUUAACUUAAGAAAAACACUGGUUUUCCAAACAA